rnacentral:rRNA from 1 species
GACGUAGGGGGCGAGCGUUGUCCGGAUUUACUGGGCGUAAAGCGCGCGUAGGCGGUCCGUUAAGUGCACAAGUGAAAGCUCCUGGCUCAACCAGGAAAUUGCUUUGCAUACUGGCGGGCUGGAGGGACGCAGAGGUCUGUGGAAUUCCUGGUGUAACGGUGAAAUGUGUUGAUAUCAGGAGGAACACCCAUGGCGAAGGCAGCAGACUGGGCGUUUCCUGACGCUGAGGCGCGAAAGCUAGGGGAGCAAACGGG